GAGGAAGGUAAAAGUCGUAACAAGGUUUCCGUAGGUGA
rnacentral:rRNA from 1 species